rnacentral:rRNA from 1 species
UACGAAGGGGGCGAGCGUUGUUCGGAUUUACUGGGCGUAAAGGGCGCGCAGGCGGCGGAUUUUGUCAGGCGUGAAAGCCCCGGGCUUAACCUGGGAACUGCGCUUGAGACGGGUUCGCUAGAGAUCGGGAGAGGAGAGUGGAAUUCCCAGUGUAGAGGUGAAAUUCGUAGAUAUUGGGAAGAACACCGGUGGCGAAGGCGGCUCUCUGGACCGAUACUGACGCUGAGGCGCGAAAGCGUGGGGAGCAAACAGG